AUGGCCGCUGGCUGGUCGGGUUUUCUAUCAGCGAAUAUUUCGCUGAAAUUAUUCGUUGUUUAUGAAACCUGCUUAGCCGGUUG
rnacentral:pre_miRNA from 1 species